UCUUCAUUUCACGCACUCUCUCACUGGUCAGAGAGGCGAGAGAGCACGCGAUAUGAGGAGU
rnacentral:pre_miRNA from 1 species